rfam:Canis lupus familiaris chromosome 1, whole genome shotgun sequence.
GCCUGGGUGGCUCAGUGGUUGAGCAUCUGUCUUUGGCUCAGGGCCUGAUCCCAAAUCCUGGGAUCAAGUCCCACGUCGGGCU